rnacentral:rRNA from 1 species
UACGUAGGCAGCGAGCGUUGUUCGGAAUUACUGGGCGUAAAGAGUGUGUAGGCGGCUGAGUAAGUUUGGUGUGAAAUCUCCCGGCUUAACUGGGAGGGUGCGCCGAAAACUGCUCGGCUAGAGUGCCGGAGAGGAAAGCGGAAUUCCUGGUGUAGCGGUGAAAUGCGUAGAUAUCAGGAGGAACACCGGUGGUGUAGACGGCUUUCUGGACGGCUACUGACGCUGAGACACGAAAGCGUGGGGAGCAAACAGG